GGGUUCGACAACCGAUAAGAAACUGGAACGUCGGCCUCAGCCCGGAACCGGAACGAAAGGGAAAGGCGCUCAUGCUCAUACGGCUACGGUAGGCUACGGUAGCUACGGCGCCACUGCGCCACGCCACUGGUGCUGUUGUUUUUCCUCAAGCACGAUGCUCAACCUACUUUUUCUCAAGAAUUUGUUAUCAUCAAACAUUCGGCCGUGCCGCGUCAUGUCAUCGAAUUAGAAUAAAGUCUCGAAUUUAUUCGGAUUUCAUACCAGAUAAAUAAGAAAUAAUAAACACCAGUGACGAGUAAUCCCGCAGCUUGACAGUUAUAUGUGUAAUUGUGUCAACAUUGUGCCAUUGAGCCAUCGCAGAAUUCAAAUCGGCAAUGUCAAUCCUGUAUCGAACUGAAAUUGGUUAUGGUUCGUCUUGAAAUUACCGCUCCAAGUUUUUUCUGAAAUUCUACGCUGCAGCUCUGCACUC